rnacentral:rRNA from 1 species
AGAGUUUGAUCCUGGCUCAGAACGAACGCUGGCGGCAGGCUUAACACAUGCAAGUCGAACGAUAUAGUGGCAGACGGGUGAGUAACACGUGGGAAUUUACCUAUCGGUACGGAACAGCUCAGGGAAACUUGGAUUAAUACCGUAUACGUCCUUCGGGAGAAAGAUUUAUCGCCGAUAGAUAAGCCCGCGGUGGAUUAGCUAGUUGGUGUGGUAAAGGCUCACCAAGGCGACGAUCCAUAGCUGGUCUGAGAGGAUGAUCAGCCACACUGGGACUGAGACACGGCCCAGACUCCUACGGGAGGCAGCAGUGGGGAAUAUUGGACAAUGGGGGAAACCCUGAUCCAGCCAUGCCGCGUGAGUGAUGAAGGCCCUAGGGUUGUAAAGCUCUUUCAACGGUGACGAUAAUGACGGUAGCCGUAGAAGAAGCCCCGGCUAACUUCGUGCCAGCAGCCGCGGUAAUACGAAGGGGGCAAGCGUUGUUCGGAUUUACUGGGCGUAAAGAGCACGUAG